UUUUUUUCUUCUUCUUCUUCCCGUUU
rnacentral:sRNA from 1 species